CUGUGGGACCUGAGAUGCACCCUGGGGGGGGGGACGGUCCACCUCCCGCUGGCGUGGGGUCUCUGCCACUUGGCCCCAGUCUGAGGGUGGGUGCCGGAGCCCGAGGACCUCGAGCACUUGCAGGCAGAGUCAGGGCGCACUGCUGGCAAGGUGACGCCACUUCUCAGUCUCGAACACGGCCGGUUCUCGACAGAGCUAGAACCCCUGGUCCUCUCAACCUGUGUCCAGGUGGACCCGGGCUGAUUCGUCCCAGGUACACUUUGCCAAGGAGCCACCCCAGACAGUGGCUCCCCUGAGAGCCGGGGUGGAGGGGCGCGCAGCUGACCAGGCCUGACAGUGUUACUUCCUUGGCCAUCAGACCCACACCUCAGAAGCCUGUCAGUCAGACAGCUGAUCCUCCUGGCCACCCUCAGCUCCUCCAUCAUCUGCUCUCUUCAUGUGGCCACAGAGGUGCAGCAGCCAUACAGCCCUACGCAGUGGGGCGCAGGGGGGGCGGCCAGGCACCGCUGACCUUGGCAGCUGACCGGGGGGGUCGCCGACGUCCCCAGCUGUGACGGGAGAGUCAUGCCAGGCUGUGCUGGGACGCCAGGCCCACUUUCCCUCAGGGCUCCGGCAGCCACUGCAGGACCUGCCGUCUCCCGGGGCCGAGGAUGGUCUCCUGCUGCCUCGCGCUCCUGGCUUUCGGCAGAGGAAACGCUCCAGUGGAAUGCAGGAGAUCUCCCUCAGGGUCCACGGCCCGAGGCCGGUGCCCAGGCGCGGCAGGGCUGAGAGCAUACGGGCCUGGUGUCUCUGGCUGGAGGCAGACCAGUGCCCUCCUGGCUGCAAGGUGGACAGCUGAGGAGCACACGGGCCAGAGCGUUUUGAAAAUGCAGACAAGCAGAGGAAGGAGAAGGGUCUUGACUGCCCAGGGCACUGGUCCCCAUGGGGUCUGCUGGGACCGCACCCUGGCCCUGUACCUCCUCCCAUGGAAGAGGCCCCAGGGAGGCUUCUGGGAAGCUCUAGGCCCUAAAGCCCAGGCCUCUGCUGCCCCUCUCUGGGCCGUAGCCCUGGACACCAGCCAGGGAGGCGGCAGCCACACCCAUGGCUCCAGUGGCUCUGGGAGCUUCAGGAACUUGCCUUCCUGAGCCGCGGAGCCCCAGGUGGCCCCGCCUGGGCACCGGGGUGCACUGAUGGGCAAGAGGGGAAUUCUCCACUGUUGAAGUUUCCCAAGCAUCAGCUUCUGGAUGUGCAAUCGCUUGGCGAGGUGUCACGAGAGGCCCGUGUCACGAGAGGGCCGUGUCCCUGUAACUUGGAUCCCCACGGGUGCUUCACCAUGUGGGACAAUGCCCCCUUCUUGGUCUCCUUUGAAAACAAGUCACAGUGACAAGGAGACAGGUGGUGUUUGCACUCACACAGACCCAUGACUACCACAGUGAGUAUGGAUUUCUCUCCCUUCACCACCACUCAGCUUUAGAGAGCUCCUCUUCAAAGACAGGACUAAACGCAGCACUGAACCUGAGCAGGGCAAAGACCCUGGAAAGAGUUACAGUGACCCCAUCACAUGGGCCCUUCAUGGCCAGCUGCUUCAUCCUGUCCCUAGCACAUUAAAUCACAGGUGCAUCCGAUGCCCAGGGAGCCAUUUGGCACCUGUCAGGGACUGAGGUUCCCCCCAGGGAGCUAGAAGGACGGUGUGGACUGGGCUGGCUGCUCCAGCCCCAUGCAGUGGGAUCUGGAGGAAGCUGUCCGUCACCCCCCCUGCACUGCCUGUUUGUCCGUCAUGGACCUGACUCUGGGCCUACUGGACCCCCUUGAGAAUCAUGAAGUCUUGCACCCCAAA